ensembl:miRNA tgu-mir-184 tgu-mir-184
CCCGCGGCUCCCCGCCGGUCUCCUGAGGCCGCUCUCGUGCCCUUAUCACUUUUCCAGCCCAGCUUCUGCACUCUGACUGUUGGACGGAGAACUGAUAAGGGUGCGCGAGUGA